CAAACGGAGUGAUCACAAAAGUUGUCCGUUGUUUGGAAAAUGGUUCUUGGAAUGAUUACAUCACAUUAUGUCAAGUUACGCUCUGUCCCGACCCACAGCCUGUACAGAAUGCCACGUACCAAGACACCUACAACGUGACAGUGGGCAGUACCGUUGUAUACACAUGUGAUAACAACACUUACUUCAUGGAUGGCUCGACCACCAGAUGGAUCCACUGCACUAUUUAUGGUACCUGGCGACCAGAAUUACCUCCAUGCAUAGCCCCAGAUCAACUUCUGAAAGUGACACCACGAAGACGCCGCAACCAAAACCCUGUCGAGGCACCCGGGGCAUCAGCAAUCGGCACGUUUUCUAUCCUGAUUAUACUGGGAAUCGUUGUGUUUAUUGUGGGGUUAGAUGCUUCCACCCUGUUUAAUCACAUUACAAAGAAGCUUGUGUCAAAUUUAAGGAAAGCGCGCCGAAGAUAUUCAAGAAAACACAAGGAUGCACACCGAGUUAAAAGGCUCACGUUGAUGUAACUGCCGGGGCAUUACCAAAUGCCUCUGAUAUCCGCUGGGCCGUUACCAAAUAAAAUGCAUGCGAUAUUUAUCUUUAUCAAAACGAUGAUAUUACAAGUGCUGCAAUUAGGAUGCGUGUCGAGUACAAUAUAGACGUGCCUACAGCGUCAAAAAUUAAUAUACGGGAAUGUGCUUUAAACUUAGUGCACAGCAACAUGUAUUUCUAUAAUGAUUUAUGAGGAUUAGGAUAUACUGCGUAUGAUACACUCAGACUUGUUUAACUAGAAUAGGAACCUGAACGUAUUAGUCAAAAAUCUCAAACAUGUCAGUGUUUAAUUAUAAAUUCGAUUUCUACCUGUAAGUUACAGUAUAUUUGAUGGCUUUUAAAAUUGGGUUCUUUCUAGUGAUCAAUAAGAAAUAUGGUUGGUUAUCGGCAAUUUAUAGGGAAAGGCAAAUGUCAUGUUCAAGGAAAAAUGGAUCAGAGAAGAAAAUCAAAGUUAUCGAAAGGCAAUACUUCACCAUUAGAAAUUUAAUCACAAUUUUCGGAGUAAGCAAUUUGUGUUAAACUUCCGAUAAUUUACCAAAAUUAUAAUUGAUCACUAGGAGGACUGAAAAAAAUCCCGAAAUAUACCGAAAUUUACCGAAGGCAGACCAUGAAAUCAAAAUAAAACACUAACGAACUGUUUGAAUAACACCUUUGCCUCCGUUUGAACUUUAAGAAAACGCAGAUGCAGCCUUCUGUAUUUCAUCAUUAUCAGGGUAUUAAAGCAAAAAUGGAAAAACCGCAAAGUCACAACAGUUAUGUAUGUCCAAUAUUAGCUAAUGUAAAUAGCCAUUCCAGAGUAAAGAGCGUUCUGUUAUGUUCACUUUUCACUGCUACCUGUACCGUGUAUAUCUGUGUUUACUAAGCUAUUCUAGAAAUAAUGUAAAUAACCUUUGUCUACAGGUAUGUUUCAAUGGUUAUUUUUUAGAAUAUUGGUGAGACAAAGUGCUGUGCAACUGUUUUAACAUGUGAAUACAAAUAACUUACACUUCAACUGUAUUUGUACUGAACUUAGGGAUGCACUGUGUAAGCUGUUUUAACAUGUGAAUACAAAUAACUUACACUUCAGUUGUAUUUAUACUGAACUUAAGAGAUGCACUGUGUAAGCCGUUUCUCGUGAAAAGCUCCUAAUUAUAACUUAUAUUUUAGGGCAAAGGUAUUUUACUCUAACCAAUCUUUGAUCCUCCUCUCCUUACACAUGUCAUAGCUAUGGUAUAAUCUGGGAAUUUUUAAAGUCCCGACAGGCUUAAAUUAAUGAUGUAUUUUCGAAAACCGCAAUUCCUUGAGGCUCAAUUUUGUGUCAAAAUGGAUGACGGGCGAUUAGCAAGUGAUAAAUUUGAUUAUUUUUGCGACAUUAAUUCAUUGCAUUACCUAUUUGAAUAUUAAUAAAAGUUACUUGUCAUAAGAGAAGCUCAACAAAGAGUGAGUAUUAUGCAUAACGUGUGUUAAAAAACCCUACUUUUGUCACUUUUAUUACUAUUUUUAAUUGGAAAUGUUGUAUUAUCGGUAAUAAAUAUUUAUAUUUUGUAAUACAUUUAUGCAUGUCAAGCUGAAUAUUGCCACAGUGCUGUAGGUGGGAUAUGUUGUAAUGGGAUGUGUUGUAGUGGACUGUGUUUACCUUACUGACAUAAUAUUUAUUUAGUAAACCUUGUGUUCAAAUGAUAAAACAUCCACGCAGGCAUAAUACGUUGCUCA